AGUGAACGCUGGCGGUAGGCAUAACACAUGCAAGUCGAACGGCAGCACAGUAAGAGCUUGCUCUUACGGGUGGCGAGUGGCGGACGGGUGAGGAAUACAUCGGAAUCUACUUUUUCGUGGGGGAUAACGUAGGGAAACUUACGCUAAUACCGCAUACGACCUACGGGUGAAAGCAGGGGAUCUUCGGACCUUGCGCGAUUGAAUGAGCCGAUGUCGGAUUAGCUAGUUGGCGGGGUAAAGGCCCACCAAGGCGACGAUCCGUAGCUGGUCUGAGAGGAUGAUCAGCCACACUGGAACUGAGACACGGUCCAGACUCCUACGGGAGGCAGCAGUGGGGAAUAUUGGACAAUGGGCGCAAGCCUGAUCCAGCCAUACCGCGUGGGUGAAGAAGGCCUUCGGGUUGUAAAGCCCUUUUGUUGGGAAAGAAAAGAAGCAGGUUAAUACCCCGCUGUUCUGACGGUACCCAAAGAAUAAGCACCGGCUAACUUCGUGC
rnacentral:rRNA from 1 species